rnacentral:lncRNA from 1 species
UUUCUCUUUCUUUUUUCUUGCUUUCUUCUUUCUUUGUUUUUUAUUUUUCCUUUCUUUCUUUCUUUCUUUCUUUCUUUCUUUCUUCUUUCUUUCUUUCUUUCUUUCUUUCUUUCUUUCUUUCUUUCUUUCUUUCUUUCUUUCUUUCUUUCUUUCUUUCUUCCUUCCUUCCUUCCUUCCUUCUUACUUUCUUACUUUCUUUCUUACUUUCUUUCUUUCUUUCUUUCUUUCUUUCUUUCUUUCUUUCUUUCUUUCUUUCUUUCUUUCUUUCUUUCUUUCUUUCUUUCUUUCUUUCUUUCUUCCUUCCUUCCUUCCUUCCUUCCUCUUCCUCCCUUCCUUCCUUCCUUUCUUUCUUUCUUUCUUUCUUUCUUUUUCAUUUUGCUUGCCUUUUUUCCUAUUUUCCUUCCUUCUCUAUAGAUG